rnacentral:rRNA from 1 species
AUUGAACGCUGGCGGCAUGCCUUACACAUGCAGGUCGAACGGCAGCACGGGUGCUUGCACCUGGUGGCGAGUGGCGAACGGGUGAGUAAUACAUCGGAACAUGUCCUGUAGUGGGGGAUAGCCCGGCGAAAGCCGGAUUAAUACCGCAUACGAUCCACGGAUGAAAGCGGGGGACCUUCGGGCCUCGCGCUAUAGGGUUGGCCGAUGGCUGAUUAGCUAGUUGGUGGGGUAAAGGCCUACCAAGGCGACGAUCAGUAGCUGGUCUGAGAGGACGACCAGCCACACUGGGACUGAGACACGGCCCAGACUCCUACGGGAGGCAGCAGUGUGGAAUUUUGGACAAUGGGCGAAAGCCUGAUCCAGCAAUGCCGCGUGUGUGAAGAAGGCCUUCGGGUUGUAAAGCACUUUUGUCCGGAAAGAAAUCCUUGACUCUAAUACAGUCGGGGGAUGACGGUACCGGAAGAAUAAGCACCGGCUAACUACGUG